rnacentral:lncRNA from 1 species
AGUGACUUCGCCGCUGCUGUAGUUCCCCGGCUGGAUGCGGUGACUGGUGCCAGUGCUCAGGCGCCCGCUGCCCUUGACCUCCCGCCCCGCGAGCCCUAACUCAGCGCAGGAGGACCGGCUGCCGCCGCCGCCGCCGCCAGGAGGUAGAUUGGGAAGUGGAGCUGGCCGUGGUCAUUGGAAAGAAAGGCAAGCACAUCAAGGUGAAGUGGAAAAGUGGCUGCUGGGAAAAACCUUCGACACCUUCUGCCCUCUGGGCCCUGCCUUGGUGACCAAGGACAGUGUAGCAGAUCCACACAACUUAAAGAUCUGCUGUCGAGUGAAUGGGGAAGUGGUCCAGAGCAGCAACACCAACCAGAUGGUAUUCAAGACAGAGGACCUGAUAGCCUGGGUGUCCCAGUUUGUUACCUUUUACCCAGGGGAUGUCAUCCUGACUGGGACCCCCCCACCUCCACCCAGGUGUCGGUGUAUUCAGGAAACCUCCUGUCUUUCUCAAGGUCUCUGAAGGUCCAGACAGCACUGAUGGCGAGCUUUGGGUCCGCACACUCUGGAAAGAAGAGAGAAGUGAAGGCUCUAGGGGGCAGCAGCCACCAGCAAACACCACUGCCUGCAGGAGCCUGGGCUGACUGGUUGGGACUCACCGAAGAUCCCUUCUUCCUGGGCGGUGGCCUGCAGGAACUGGAACAGCUGCUCUGUGUAGCCCAACUCUGCAGAAGAGAGAAGACCUAGACCUGGCACCCAGCACAGACACAGCCUGCCUCGAGGACUGCAAGGGAACAAGGGCCUCACCAGUAUCGGGCAGCUGGCCCUGGCGGAGGAAGGCGGCAGCCUGUGCAAAGGCCUUGAGCAGCGGGCUGAGCAGGCGGCAGAGGAAAAGAAAGAAAUCUGGGCAGUGUGACUGCUGGCUGAGCUGGAGGGGACAGGCCGGGGUGAGUGCAGCUCCCCACCGCCUCCCUACCACCUCCCUCCAGGGGCAGCUUUUUGAAACACACCCUGAAGUACCGGCCGUCAGCCUCUCCGAAGUCAUCACUGUCACUAUCAGUAAAGUCCCCACUCGGUUUCCACAGCA